GAUCCUGGCUUAGGACGAACGCUGGCGGCGUGCUUCAUACAUGCAAGUCGAACGAGAAAUUACCUUCGGGUAAUGGAAAGUGGCGGACGGGUGAGUAAUAUGUAGAGAAUCUGCCUUCAAGCGGGGGAUAGCAGUUGGAAACGACUAUUAAUACCCCAUAUGAGCGUAACUGAAAUGUUAUUCUUGAAAACUCCGGUGCUUGGAGAUGAGUCUGCAUCUGAUUAGCUAGUUGGGGGUGUAAUGGACCACCAAGGCGACGAUCAGUAGCUGGUUUGAGAGGAUGAUCAGCCACAAUGGGACUGAGACACGGCCCAUACUCCUACGGGAGGCAGCAGUAGGGAAUUUUGCGCAAUGGGCGAAAGCCUGACGCAGCCAACGCCGCGUGAUCGAGACGCUUUUCGGAGUGUAAAGAUCUGUCACAGGGGACGAACGAUGACGGUACCCUGAGAGGAAGCACCGGCUAACUCCGUGCCAGCAGCGGC
rnacentral:rRNA from 1 species